UCUCGAUUGGUCUAGUGGCUAGGAUACCUGCUUGUCAUCGUUUGACAAGCCGCAGGUGGCCGGGGUUCGAUUCCCCGAUCGAGAG